rnacentral:tRNA from 1 species
AAGGCUUUAAGUUAUAAAAACUAAUAGCCUUCAAAGCUGUAAAUAUAAAUAAGUUUGUAAGCCUUA